AUACUCAUUUCAGUAGCACAUAUACAAAAAUUGGAAUGAUACGGAGAGGAUUAGAACAGUUUCCAUGCAAUUGUGACACUUAAAUUUGUGAAGUGUUUCAUAUUUUU
ensembl:snRNA U6 U6 spliceosomal RNA